rnacentral:rRNA from 1 species
GACGAACGCUGGCGGCGUGCUUAACACAUGCAAGUCGAACGGAAAGGCCCUGCUUUUGUGGGGUGCUCGAGUGGCGAACGGGUGAGUAACACGUGAGUAACCUGCCCGUGACUUUGGGAUAACUUCAGGAAACUGGGGCGAAUACCGGAUAGGAGCUCCUGCUGCAUGGUGGGGGUUGGAAAGUUUCGGCGGUUGGGGAUGGACUCGCGGCUUAUCAGCUUGUUGGUGGGGUAGUGGCUUACCAAGGCUUUGACUGGUAGCCGGCCUGAGAGGGUGACCGGCCCCAUUGGGACUGCGAUACGGACCAGACUCCUACGGGAGGCAGCAGUGGGGAAUAUUGCACAAUGGGCGGAAGCCUGAUGCAGCAACGCCGCGUGCGGGAUGACGGCCUUCGGGUUGUAAACCGCUUUCGCCUGUGACGAAGCGUGAGUGACGGUAAUGGGUAAAGAAGCACCGGCUAACUACGUG